AGAGAAAGCAAACAUCAGCGUCAUCUCUGCUGAGAAGAGGAGACCAAUAAAAACAGUAUUAAUUUACAAAAUCACAGCAGAUACAGAGGACUGGGGAAACGAGGGCCUCUUGGAGAUUUUAGAACACCUUGAAAGAAGAAUGGCUGCUUUUAAUAACUCAUCACGGAGCACGAAGGCAUUAGAGGUUAUGGAAUGAGAGCCUCCCAACAACAUCAAUAAAGGGAAAAGAUCCAAGAAGCAGCAUUGGAGGACUUCAUGGCAGAGAAGCUAAGCAUGAACAUCACUCCACACCGAUUGUUGCUCUAGGUGCUGGCAGCUGUGCACCAAUGGUAUGCUGUGAGGAGGAAACAAGGCAUGCAAGCAAAGUCACAGAGAAAGAACCCCGCCCCUCCCCGUUACCCAGAGUUUUCAGAACCUCCAACAGGGGCAACUUAACUAUUUCACUCCAGGGGGUGUAAGGAAUGAAUCAACAGGAACUCAGCAAUUCCGUCUGAUCAAGGAAAAAUGCAAGUAAGCAUGCUUUUGUCUAACACUGCAGUUUAUUAGAUUUAAGCACACACAGACAUAAGCAAUAGAUUUAGAACAUCCCAGAUAUUUACCUAUAUUCUGAGACGGUACUGAGUAAUCAACAACAGGUCAGCAUCAGG
rnacentral:lncRNA from 1 species